rnacentral:rRNA from 1 species
GAUGAACGCUGGCGGCGUGCCUAACACAUGCAAGUCGAGCGAGAAGAACAUGACUGAAUCUUCGGAGGAAGGAGUGUUUGGAAAGCGGCGGACGGGUGAGUAACGCGUGGGCAACCUACCCUAUACAGAGGGAUAGCCACUGGAAACGGUGAUUAAUACCUCAUAAGACUACAGCAUCGCAUGGUGAAGUAGUCAAAACUCAGGUGGUAUAGGAUGGGCCCGCGUCUGAUUAGCUAGUUGGUAAGGUAAUGGCUUACCAAGGCGACGAUCAGUAGCCGACCUGAGAGGGUGAUCGGCCACACUGGAACUGAGACACGGUCCAGACUCCUACGGGAGGCAGCAGUGGGGAAUAUUGCACAAUGGGCGAAAGCCUGAUGCAGCAACGCCGCGUGAGCGAUGAAGGCCUUCGGGUCGUAAAGCUCUGUCCUAAGGGAAGAAUAAUGACGGUACCUUAGGAGGAAGCCCCGGCUAACUACGUGCCAGCAGCCGCGGUAAAAC